ensembl:lncRNA
GUGUGUGUUGUCUUUAGUUGGAUAUUAGUGGACAAAAAUGAAUGUUGUUUGAAUAAUGCUUUGGAUACUUAUAAUCCCUUUCAUGCACAUGUGUAAGUUCAUUUAAAUUAUUUUUAUUUUUAUUUUCUGAUUUUUUUUUUUGUCUGGUAAGGUAAUUGGUGUUUCUGGGUGUAAUGUCUGAUGAAAUGCUUUGAAUACUUUAUCAUGAAAUUGACUCAUAUGCUUUACCCACAUACUUUUCUAGACAAAGCACAUGAUGUCAUUCAAUCAAACUGAGUAACAGGAGCUGCAUCUGGGGAUACAGUGACUUUAGAUUGCUUUUUCCCUGCGGCUUUCCAACACGAACAUCUGUCCUGGUACAAACAAACACUGGGACAAAAGCCUUUUUUGGUGGCUAGGUCGUUUAAAGCAACUCCAUUCUGGAGUCCUUUGUUUUCUGAAGACUUUCGAAAUGGACGAAUGAACAUACAGCACUCUGAAGGAUCAUUUAAUCUGACCAUCACAAACGUCACAUCAUCUGAUGAAGCAACAUAUUACUGCAUUGGGGGAUUGAUUCCUUACCUUACAUUUGGAAAUGGAACGUUUCUGGCUCUCAAAGGUAAUACACGUGUGUUUCAACACAACACCCAACAAUUCAGAAGUUAUGAGACAUUUCACCCACUUUUAUAUAAUGAACCCUCUGUUAAAAUUAUAGGACACAGACAGUUUGACCACAGCUUUAAUGAGGAUAGAGCAUUCUUCUGUGCAGUGGCCAACUGUGGACAAAUGAACACUGAAAAGAAGACAGUUUUGAACACAGAGAAAGCUGUGGAUCCUGUUGUUUAUGGGUUGGCUGCUGUGUUGGGACUGUGUUUUGUGCUCAUAUGUUACUUGGCCCGUUUAAUUUACCAAGACAGGAACCACAAACAUGACAAAGGUAUAUCAUCUGUGAUAAUAGUUAUUAGAAUGCAUUACAUGAGCAUGUCUCAGUGAGCGUUGUCCUGACUCCAAGAAUAAAAUAACAA